AGCGAACGCUGGCGGCAGGCUUAACACAUGCCAGUCGAGCGCCCCGCAAGGGGAGCGGCAGACGGGAGAGUAACACGUGGGAACAUACCUUUUGGUUCGGAACAACUGAGGGAAACUUCAGCUAAUACCGGAUAAGCCCUUACGGGGAAAGAUUUAUCGCCGAAAGAUUGGCCCGCGUCUGAUUAGCUAGUUGGUGAGGUAACGGCUCACCAAGGCGACGAUCAGUAGCUGGUCUGAGAGGAUGAUCAGCCUCACUGGGACUGAGACACGGCCCAGACUCCUACGGGAGGCAGCAGUGGGGAAUAUUGGACAAUGGGGGCAACCCUGAUCCAGCCAUGCCGCGUGAGUGAUGAAGGCCUUAGGGUUGUAAAGCUCUUUUGCCCGGGAAGAUAAUGACGGUACCGGGAGAAUAAGCCCCGGCUAACUUCGUG
rnacentral:rRNA from 1 species